rnacentral:piRNA from 1 species
UAAGGAUAGGUGAUACAGUGUUGGAAACAC